CCCCCCCCCUCCCCCUCCCUCCCUCCCUCCCUCCCUCCCUCCCUCUCUGCUUGACAUCGUUCAACCUUUUCUUCGCGAAUCUGUCAGUCCUUCCCUACAUUCCCAGUCAUCUGCUCUGCGUGAAGCCCCCCCUGCAGCAUUCAGUCGUCAAUUCCAACAAUGGCCGAAUACACAUCUCCAAGCCGAGCCCCUACCAGUAGCUUUUGAUCCUGGAGAUUUGAUCAUGAAACCUUCAUUAAUACCAUCACAGAGACAAAAUCCGCAAUUUUUGACUGGUUCAUAGAGAGUACUAAUUUUUACUAAUGUAAAGAGAACAAUACCCAAAACCACUUGAAACUCUACUUUUCUUAUAGUUCUAACCUCGCCCAAUAUUGCUAUUCCAAGCUUGCAGCUCGAGAACCCUCAUGUUCCAUAGGCUUCCCGAUCGAGGACUGACGUCUUCCUCAUCUCUUGUACUUUGCAGCCAUGAGCUUGACUCCGUAAUCCACUAAUAAUCAUGCAAGGCACCCAAGCAUAGAGAUACGAAUAUUUAUAGGAUAUUUGGUACUUCAAAUUUGAAAAAAAAAAACUUAUACAUUAUCAAGGAAACCUUUUCAUUUUUCAAAAAAAAUCUUUAAUUGUAUAUCAAUCCAUACGAAUAAUAUGGACAAAUGUUCAAGAUGGAUUGAACAUAAUACGAAUAAAAUGUAGUAAAUGUUCAUUUAAUUGGAAUCAAAAGGUAAACUAAACGUAGAGCUGACUGUUUAUAAUUUGAGCGCAACUACGAUCAUGUUCUCAGCCUUUAUAUAUUAUAAAUUGAUUGAUUGAUUGCGUCGAGUUCAUGGCUCCACCCAUCUAUUAUAUUCUUCUUCUCCGUUGCAUGGGUUGUUCUGAUUCUGUUGACAUUCAAUAAGAAACAAUAGCUUUGAUGUAUGGAGAGGCCAACACCUCCAAUCUCGUUGGUGGCACUGUCCAAUUCAUGACUGAGUCAAAGAAAAAUAACCAAACCUUUGCCUCUAGGCUCUUGCAGCGCGUAUAAGGAAUUAAUUCUCAAGAAAUUAUUGAUCUUGCUGCCUUUUGUAUAUAGAGCUACUUGUGACAACUUUACAUUAAUGGCUGAUUAUGUUUCAAAAAAAAAAAAGAAAAUCCAAUCAUGUAUUUACAUUAAGACUAAUAUGGAGCAAUGAAGAUAAGAAGAUGAGGAUUGUAAGACCAAGAUGAAUCCUCACAAUUUCUUGUUUUCUCCAAGUCAAAGAAGAGAGAGAAGAGAGAUAAGGUUUUUUUUUUUUACUUUUUUAUUUGAAAAAGAUGAUGCAUUUAAGAUUCAAAUAUAUGGGUAAAUCGGGUGUGAAUUGGAAUUAAUUUUGGUUGGAUUAGUUCAAACAGAAAAAAUCAUAUAUAGUAAUUUGGUCUAUUAUGGACCCUACUUACUAGUACACAUCGGCUUUAUUUAACAGAAAAAGUUACGGAAGGACUGAAACAAAAAAGUUAACAAAGGAAUAUGACGCAAACAGAAAAAAAAAUAAGAAAAAUGAUAAAAGAGAAAAGUCACCAAAGAUAUAGGACUAAAAUUAUAUUUUUUCCAAUUAAUAAAUCACGAUUGACGUUUCCUUUUCCUAUGGUUUGUUAGGGAUGAAUAGUGGUUGUCUUUAAUUAUUUUGAGUACCACUCAACUAAUUAAAAAGACAAUGAUAUUAAUUAAUAUAUUAGAUUCAUCCGGAUCACUAGCUAGCUUCAUGUUUUAAACUAGCAAAAAUUGCUUUCCAUUACAAUCAUUGAUUAGGAGUUGAAAUUAAUUAGAGAACAAGUUGCUUUCCAAAGCCGCAUGCAGAGAGCUGACUUCAGCGGAGUUCAGCAUUUCAAAAGUUAAAAAAAAAAAACAAUUCGACUUCGAUAAAUAAUAGCAUAGAUUCG